UUGAUUCUUCCGUUUUCAUACUGGCUGCUAUAAACGAUUCUGGGGUAUUCACUGGUAAAGGUGGUGUGUUCUCCACCACAUUGAGGUAAUGAGGUAAAAUUGUAGCUGCAUCUUGUUCACCUUUAACAUUAACAGACUGUUGUUCAGAUGACAAAAUAUCACUGCCUUUUGUCUUACUCAGUUCUUGGCUUGAAAUCUGUUCAUUUUCAGUUGCUGUUUCACUGCUCGCUUGUAAUGAUGUCUGCACAUCAACAGGUCCUUCCUCAAAUUCUAUUUCUUCGUCUUCAUUCUCAUCUUCUCCACUGCCAUAAUUAGUGAGAGCUUGGGUUUCUGCUUUUGAUAAACUUAUUGCCACUGGGCCACUUUCACUUUCUUCAUCUUCCUCUUGGUCAGAAGCAUCAGACUUGAUACUUUCAGGAACUUCAUUACCAUCAUACGUUUCUAAGCCCUGUACUGGUUUGACAGUUUCAGUCUCAUCCUUGUCUUUGUCCUCAUCGAUAUCUUCAGUAGAUGAACAAACAUCCACCUGGAGACCUUUUUUUGCCUCUUUAGCAUAAGACUGUAUCUCUUCAGUAGUUUCUAUUUUGCGUUUACACCUCUGCUUUACAGAAAUACUGUUAUUGUCCAAGUCUUGCAUGAGUUUAAAAAAGGCUAAUUCAUUAAAUAAUACUUCAGAAAUCUCCACAAGAAGAUCUUCCCCACAAUCUUUUAAUUUUCUACCAGCAAAUUUUGCCAGGGAAUCCUGUGAAGAGAAAUAAAUCUUCAGUUUCUGAGACAAGCUUUCACACUUC
rnacentral:lncRNA from 1 species